GAUACUUUUAUUUGUUUUAGUCUUAAAUGGUUGGGCACUUGAGUUUGGUCCUAUUUUAUACAAAGUUACAUAUCCAUAGCCUAUGUGCUUUCAAAGCCAGGGGUAAAGCCCUCUGUGAAUGAUUGAACAGAUGAAACAGGAGCAACUUUGAUUUUUUGCUAGGUGUCUCUAUAUAGAAACAGCUGAUGCUGAGGACUGGAAAAGUGACAAACCACCACUUCAGAUUUUCCUGAUAUUCCCAAUUUUAUAGAGAUAAUUGGCUCAUUCAUCCUAAGAUUAUUUUCAUUCUGAACCAUGAGCAUUCACCACAUAAGUACUCUGGCCUGCUAGAUCCACAAAGUGCAUAGGAAGUAAGGGAAAUUUUGUUAAUGCAAUAUUUACCCCAGAGCAUAGUCAGGGAAUCAAGAUCAAUGUCAUGCUACUUAAAGUUUGUGGAGCCCUUAUUUUGGACCUAUUAAACUACAUGAGAACAAAAGAGCUGCCCAAUGUCUACUAUUCAAAAACAAUGUGUAAUCCACUGAGUAACUAUGGCCUCUUGCCCUCUCACCAUAGUUGCCUACGGACAAAGGAGGAUGUGGCUCCUUUGAGUGCUCCAAGACUGAUCCUGAGAACCUUGCUCAUUUUCUUCUUUCUCAUCACUCCCAGGAUUUCAUACCAGAUCUGGUACAGGACUCACAGGACCCAGAACUGAAUACAUUAAAAGAAAUGUCAUGAGGCCAGGUCAAAAUAUAGUGGGACUCAUUCUAGAUGCUAUUCUUCUAUCCAUGCAACUAAAUAUUUUUGUAUUGCUGUAUUUGAUUGUUGUUACAUUCUUGAUUCAUAUUGAAAUUUCAUACAAUAUCCAUUUUUAUUUUUCAUAUGAACUGUUUCCUUGGACACAUUUCUCCUAUUAAAUGUGAGUUUUC
ensembl:lncRNA